UACAGAGGCCACGAGCGUUGUUCGGAAUCACUGGGCAUAAAGCGCACGUAGGCGGCUAGGUCCGUCCGAUGUGAAAGCCCCCGGCUCAACCGGGGAAUGGCAUCGGAUACAGCCUGGCUUGAGGACGGUUGGGGUGAGUGGAACUCCUGGUGGAGCGGUGAAAUGCGUAGAUAUCAGGAGGAACACCGGUGGCGAAAGCGGCCCACUGGACCGUUACUGACGCUGAGGUGCGAAAGCUAGGGGAGCAAACGGG
rnacentral:rRNA from 1 species